ensembl:miRNA
CAGUGCUCUUCUUGGAUUGACACUGGUGAGUUAAACUAUAUACAAUCAGUGUCUUUCUGAGUAGAGGAAGGCUCA